rnacentral:tRNA from 1 species
CUUUAAUAAUUUAAAUUUAAAAUAGUGGUUUUGUAAAUCACAUAUAUUGAACAACAAUUUAAAGCAU